GUAGGGAAUAUUGGGCAAUGGAGGCAACUCUGACCCAGCCAUGCCGCGUGCAGGAUGACGGCCCUCUGGGUUGUAAACUGCUUUUAUACGGGAAGAAAAAAUACUACGUGUAGUAUACUGACGGUACCGUAAGAAUAAGGAUCGGCUAACUCCGUGCCAGCAGCCGCGGUAAUACGGAGGAUCCAAGCGUUGUCCGGAUUUAUUGGGUUUAAAGGGUGCGUAGGCGGAUCUUUAAGUCAGUGGUGAAAGCCUGCAGCUUAACUGUAGAAUUUCCAUUGAAACUGAAGAUCUUGAAUGUGGUUAAAGUAGGCGGAAUGUAUCAUGUAGCGGUGAAAUGCUUAGAUAUGAUACAGAACACCGAUAGCGAAGGCAGCUUGCUGAACCAUUAUUGACGCUGAGGCACGAAAGCGUGGGGAGCGAACAGGAUUAGAAACCCCGGUAGUCC
rnacentral:rRNA from 1 species